rnacentral:misc_RNA from 1 species
GAUGAAGAACGCAGCGAAAUGCGAUAAGUAAUGUGAAUUGCAGAAUUCAGUGAAUCAUCGAAUCUUUGAACGCACCUUGCACCCUUUGGCAUUCCGAAGGGUAUGCUCGUUUGAGUGUCAUUGUACUCUCACACUUCCAAUUCUUUGGAUUGGGAGCGGUGGACUUGGGUUUGCUGCUUUACUGUAGCUCACCUCAAAUGUGUUAGUGCAGCUCUUGGUUGGACAUAGUACGGCGUGAUAAGUAUCUUCGCCGGUGCCUCGCAAAGAGGGUGGCCGAUCGGGAUGUUGUGCUCCAAACUGUCUUCGGACAAUCUCUGACAACUUGACCUCAAAUCGAGUAAGACUACCCGCUGAACUUAAGCAUAUCAAUAAGCGGAGGA